AUGCUAUUAUGUAGUCCCACGUCUUUUCACGAUGGUAACGAUGUCGACGUACAUAUGCACAUCACGCAGAAGACGCGCGUGCACGUUUUGGGGUCAAAGGCCGGAUACGGCCAAUUGGAUUCACAAGAUUGAUAUUUAAACUCACUAAUUUCUUCUAAUCAUUGCCCUGUCGUGGUUUCCAUUUGCUGGUUAUCUGAGAGUGUGUUUCUGAUCGUGAUUCUUUGGUAUUUGACUUUGGCUUCGUUCUGACUUCCCUGAAUUCUGGUAUCCCUAACUAUUGGCUAUUCCUUGCAACUGUGCUUCGUUCUGUGUUCCUGACCACAGCCAGUAUUUUGACUAUUCUCUGGGAUGUUAAGUCCGGCCAUUCUAUGGUCAGGUUAGACAUUAUCCUUAUUCCUAGUGUGAUACUAAUACUGCAUGCUGGAUCAUUGUAAUCC